rnacentral:rRNA from 1 species
GAUGAACGCUAGCGGCAGGCUUAAUACAUGCAAGUCGUGGGGCAGCGCGUUAUAGCAAUAUGAUGGCGGCGACCGGCAAACGGGUGCGUAACACGUACGCAACCUUCCUACAGGCGGGGAAUAGCCCAGAGAAAUUUGGAUUAAUACCCCAUAAGAUUUUGGAGUGGCAUCACUCUAUUAUUAAAGCUUCGGCACCUGAAGAUGGGCGUGCGGCUGAUUAGGUAGUUGGCGGGGUAACGGCCCACCAAGCCUUCGAUCAGUAGCUGAUGUGAGAGCAUGAUCAGCCACACGGGCACUGAGACACGGGCCCGACUCCUACGGGAGGCAGCAGUAAGGAAUAUUGGUCAAUGGACGAAAGUCUGAACCAGCCAUGCCGCGUGGAGGAUGAAGGUCCUCUGGAUUGUAAACUUCUUUUAUUUGGGACGAAAAAAGGGCAUUCUUGCUCACUUGACGGUACCAGAUGAAUAAGCACCGGCUAACUCCGUGCC